UACGUAGGGUGCAAGCGUUAUCCGGAUUCACUGGGUUUAAAGGGUGCGUAGGUGGGUUGGUAAGUCAGUGGUGAAAUCUCCGAGCUUAACUUGGAAACUGCCAUUGAUACUAUCAGUCUUGAAUACCGUGGAGGUCAGCGGAAUAUGUCAUGUAGCGGUGAAAUGCUUAGAUAUGACAUAGAACACCAAUUGCGAAGGCAGCUGACUACGCGAAUAUUGACACUGAUGCACGAAAGCGUGGGGAUCAAACAGG
rnacentral:rRNA from 1 species